rnacentral:ncRNA from 2 species
UAUUGGAAAAAAUCAACAGGUGUGCCGAUUGCGGUCGGCGCUUAAUAGGGAAGACCGGUGUAAAUCCGGCGCAGUCCCGCUACUGUAAAGGGAAGUUCACUGCAAUAUGCCACUGGGAAACUGGGAAGGCGCAGCUGAAUGUUGAACCUGAGCCAGGAGACCUGCCUGUUACGGGUAUCUUAC